AGUCAUGAACAUGUUCUCUGUGGCUGACCGCUGAUACUGCAGCUUCGAGGUGAAGCUCUCUCCCCUCGUCUGUAGCUCCUCCUACACACACACACACACACACACACACGCACACACACACACACACGAAACAAAUCCAUAAACAAGUGCAUUCAAUAGAUCAUAAAGUAGAGUCAUUUAUGCUGUAUUAAAUAUAUACACUGUAUAGAAAAUAUAAAAUGAUGCCUAAUAUUUUUGUAAUAGUUGUUAGUCAACAAAAGAGCCUCUCUGUAAAUGCAACAGGACUGCAAAAGAAAAAACAAAGCAGCGACCAGUUAUAUUAAAGCGCAGAAUAAAACUAAGACAAACCUGUAUUCAUGGAAAUGACAUGACUUUAAGGCUUAACCAAGAUAAGUGGAAAAACAGUUUGGUCAAUAGCGAUGGGAAGGAAAGACAUCAUUGUAAAAUUUGUUUAUAAACAAAACACUAAAGAUUCAUCUAUAAAAGAAUUAAAAUAAAAACUCAUACAUAUAUAGAUUUAUUUUAUAAAGCAUCUUAUUCCUGUGGUAACAAACCUGUAGCGUAUCAGACUUCAGCAAUGUGUGUACGAGGUCCAAGCUGAAUUUCAAACACAUGGUUCUCUCUGCACCUGUAAACAAAGCAGAGGGGCAAAUUUCUAUAUUUAUAAUAAAUAAAUCUAUUCAUGAUAGAUUAAUAUAAUCAGUGAUUAGACGAGGUUUAGAGAGGCCAAUCGUAACAAAACUCAGUGGACCGGUUUGACUCUUGACCCCAGAGGUCUGUGCUCAAUUUGAACCCAAACGGUCACUGGGAGGCACCAUCACAUUUUGUUUUGUGUGUGGAUUUUAUAUCAUGUGAUGUUUCCCACAAACACAAAUUCUUUAUAUCAAAUUGUAGAUCUCCUUAUUUUGAACAACUGUGCCUCAAGAACCACUGCUGUCAAUCAAAUUGCUGUCAACUCAUACAUACAUGUACACACAUUAUGCACACACACAUGAACUGGUGUGACUAACAGACCAGAUCUUGUGCGAUUUGUAAAAAUAAAUAAAUAAAAUUAUUAUAUGAGCACAGUGACAGGGGCACCUUCAUAAAGUUUUGCAUUAGGUCCCCAGAUGUUUAGGACAGUCACUGGAUUUAGUUUUACACAUUAAUUUAUAAAUAUCUAUUGAAUAAAAAUGAAGCCAUGUUUUUCAUAAUUGUUGUACAGAUAGGUGGCAAAUUAAAGGAACACCCUUAAGAAAGGAGUUAGGGGUGAGGGCAUUUUUCUGGCAUGGUUUGGGUCCACUUAUCCCCUUAAAGGAAAUGGUCACUGCACAUCAAUAUGAAGUGGUUUUGAAUGAUCACCUUUUUUCCUAUGAUGAAGCAUUUCUAUCCUGUUACAAACGGACAAUGCACCAUCCAUAGGGCACAAGGGGUCAAUGAAUGGUUAAUGAUGUGAAGGAUAUGUCAUGGCCUAACCUGAUCUCAACCCAGUUGAACAUCUAUGGGAGAUUUUAGACCAAUGUGUUAUGUCUAUGUGAUGUCUUCAUCAUUAUCGAGACAGCAAAUGAUGAUCUUUUGGAACAAUAGUGUACCAUUCCAGCAGUACAAUUCCAGAGACUUCUAGAAUCAAUGCCAAGGCACAUUGAAGCUGUUCUGGGAACACAUGGUGGCUUAACACUGUUUAUUAAGGUACUGUUAAUUUUCCCUUUAAUUUCUCACCCAUCUGUAUAAUGUCACUGUCACAUGGAAACCUAGUAUCUCCAGAUUUGAUCAUUUUUCCUUCUUUAAGUUCUUUAUAAAACAAUGCUAUUGGUCACCCUUUACAUUUAACUGUGGGUUUCACAAAUAUUUAACCAAUGAAAAGUAUUAAAAAGUGUUUGUGACUAAAUCUCAAUCUCUAAAACUUUUGGUAAAGCCUCAUAACUCCACCCCACCUACAUGUUGAAGGAUUGAUGUGCCACACAGCAGAGCUGAACGUAAACAGUGAUCUUGAAGUAACCACUUCAUCCUGCUCAGGAUUGAGGAGGAUCCAGAGUUUAUCCAGGAUUAAUGGGCAAGAGGCAAGAAUAUAUCUUACAUCAGUCCAUCACAGGAGACCACGGACACACACACAGACA